CCAAAACUCACUACACGAAGUAGGUAACACACCAACGAGUCACUACAUUUUGAAAAGUCACUACUUACACUCGUGUAGUGAGUUUUCUGAAGCGUUGAAAACGGAAUUUCUGACCGUGUUUUACCCAGAAAAUACAAAAUUGUUUAUAGUGUGAGUUUCCGGUAUGAACGAGAUUUUUUUCACACAGAAUUUCAUGCUGCACCAUGGCGUUUACACACUUUCCCCUGAUGGAUUUUUUUGCGCAUGCGCACGAAUAACUUCCGUGAAAAUGGACAUCAACAGUACAAAGAUGCCAGUAGGACAAAGGUGACAUAUGUCAAUACUAGUCCUUGAAUAAUUGAGACAGAAUGGAAAUUAAUGGCAAAAAAAUGACGCUUAAAAUAAUGCAGAAUAAGCCAAGGCUUUGUCCAUUUGCUUUGAAAGUAAUCCUCCCGAAGGAAGAAUUACUUAAUGAUUAUGGAGACCAAACCAAGAAUUUGUGGUGGAGAAUAAAAGGGCCACAACGUAAGGGUUAAUAGAGAAUUUCACCAACUUCCGAACAAUCGAGGCCAUGCAAAAGUUUCAAAGCUUCUCCAUAGUAUGUAGACAGUGGCACCAUUCAGAAGUAUAGGGGAAUGGACUUUGAUGAGAUUGAUCUUCCUGACAAAGGUUGUAGUCCUCUGCCUCAUGAAACAGAAAGUAAAAAUGGCAAGAUCAAAUUCACACCAUGAGGAGUAUCUUUAGGACACCAGUGCUUGAUUGAGGAAAAAGAGUACCAGAAGAAACACUUCAAGAGUAUUAUAUUUUCUGGAAGAACUCCUAGACAGAUACACUUACUGCAAUAUAGAAAGCAUCAUUGAAGGGGUUUCCUUUGAAGCAAAUCAAAUAUGCUGUAAAAUAAGACUGCUACUUAAAGGAAAACAUUUCAAAAAUACAAUGUACUGAUAUUAUUCAGUUGGUUUGAAACAGUCACAACCUGAGAAACUAAUUAAACUUGGGCAAUAUUGGUAGUCAAACAAAAAGACUUUUUAUUGCAUUUUUAACUAAGAUGGUUUUUAACAAGAUAGUAUUAAAUUUUUUGAUAGUAUUAAAUUUUUUGUCAGUCUGUCAACUUUAUUCAUAGUGUAUAUUUUUUAACUUCUUAACUUAUGGACAAUGUAUUAUGUGGUUUAAUGAACUUAG